rnacentral:rRNA from 1 species
GACGAACGCUGGCGGCGUGCUUAACACAUGCAAGUCGAACGGAAAGGCCUCUUUCGGGGGGUACUCGAGUGGCGAACGGGUGAGUAACACGUGAGUAACCUGCCCUUGACUUUGGGAUAACUUCAGGAAACUGGGGCUAAUACCGGAUAGGAGCUCCUGCUGCAUGGUGGGGGUUGGAAAGUUUCGGCGGUUGGGGAUGGACUCGCGGCUUAUCAGCUUGUUGGUGGGGUAGUGGCUUACCAAGGCUUUGGCGGGUAGCCGGCCUGAGAGGGUGACCGGCCACAUUGGGACUGAGAUACGGCCCAGACUCCUACGGGGGGCAGCAGUGGGGAAUAUUGCACAAUGGGUGGAAGCCUGAUGCAGCAACGCCGUGUGCGGGAUGACGGCCUUCGGGUUGUAAACCGCUUUCGCUCAUGACGAAGCUUUGUGUGACGGUAGUGGGUAAAGAAGCACCGGCUAACUACGUG